CCUACGGGAGGCAGCAGUGGGGAAUUUUGGACAAUGGGGGCAACCCUGAUCCAGCCAUUCCGCGUGAGUGAAGAAGGCCUUCGGGUUGUAAAGCUCUUUCGCAAGGGAAGAAAACUUAUGAUCGAAUAAAUCAUGAGGUUGACGGUACCUUGAUAAGAAGCACCGGCUAACUACGUGCCAGCAGCCGCGGUAAUACGUAGGGUGCGAGCGUUAAUCGGAAUUACUGGGCGUAAAGCGUGCGCAGGCGGUUUUGUAAGUCGGAUGUGAAAUCCCCGGGCUCAACCUGGGAACUGCGUUCGAAACUGCAAGGCUAGAGUGUGUCAGAGGGGGGUAGAAUUCCACGUGUAGCAGUGAAAUGCGUAGAGAUGUGGAGGAAUACCAAUGGCGAAGGCAGCCCCCUGGGAUAACACUGACGCUCAUGCACGAAAGCGUGGGGAGCAAACAGGAUUAGAUACCCUGGUAGUCCACGCCCUAAACGAUGUCAACUAGUUGUUGGUAGAGUAAAAUCUACGAGUAACGUAGCUAACGCGUGAAGUUGACCGCCUGGGGAGGAGGUCGCGAGAAGUAAACUACGAAAGAAGUAGUUAGGNGUGNGAGNGCGACGGACGACGACGAGGGAGGAGG
rnacentral:rRNA from 1 species